GAUGCCUGAUUUCUUCCUUCCUUUGUCCUUAUUCUCCCGGUGGACGCCUGAUUUCUAUUUUUCUUUGUCCUUGUUCUCCAGGUGGACGCCUGAUUUCUUCUUCUCUUUUGUCCUUGUUCUCCAGGUGGACGCCUGAUUUCUUCUUCUCCUUGGUCCUUAUUCUCCAGGUGGACGCCUGAUUACUUCUUUUCUUUGUCCUUGUUCUCCAGGUAGACGCCUGAUUUCUUCUUUUCUUCGACAAACAACAAACUCCGUUCUACAGGCGGGUCUCCUAUUGGUAAGAUUAAACUUAGGAAGUGCGUCUCCUAUGGUGAAACUAAACUGAGGAAGUGCGUCUCCUAUUGGUAAUGACAUGCCUGCAUUUAUACUUGUGGGCGACCUAGAAUAUGGAAUGAACAGACAAAAUGUAUUCCCGCAUUAUACUGGUGGGCGACCUAGAACAUAAAUGUAUUCCCGCAUUAUACUGGUGGGCGACCUAGAACUUAAAUGUAUUCCCGCAUUUUACUGGUGGGCGACCUAGAACUUAAAUGUAUUCCCGCAUUUUACUGGUGGGCGACCUAGAACUUAAAAGUAUUCCCGCAUUUUACUGGUGGGCGACCUAGAACUUAAAUGUAUUCCCGCAUUAUACUGGUGGGCGACCUAGAACUUAA
rnacentral:lncRNA from 1 species